GCCGGAGUGGCGGAACUGGCAGACGCGUUGGUCUCAAAAACCAAUGGUUGAAUAAACCGUGAGAGUUCGAGUCUCUCCUCCGGCACCA
rnacentral:tRNA from 1 species